rnacentral:rRNA from 1 species
GCGCAGCAGGCGAGAAACUUCACACUGUGCGAAAGCACGAUGAGGGAAUCCCAAGUGCUUGCACGUAAGUGUAAGCUGUUUCUCUGUCUAAAACGCAGAGAGAGUAAGGGCUGGGUAAGACGGGUGCCAGCCGCCGCGGUAAUACCUGCAGCUCAAGUGGUGACCGUUAUUAUUGGGCCUAAAACGUCCGUAGCCGGUUUAAUAAAUGCCUGGGUAAAUUGUGUAGCUUAACUAUACGAAUUCCGGGUAGACUGUUAAACUUGAGACCGGGAGAAGUUAGAGGUACUCCUGGGGUAGAGGUGAAAUUCUGUAAUCCUAGGGGGACCACCAGUGGCGAAGGCGUCUAACUAGAACGGGUCUGACGGUGAGGGACGAAGCCCUGGGGCGC